GGUGAGCCAAAUUUUGACCCAGCUUGACCCUCCGGGCAGCAUUCUUUUGAGAGCUAUUGAAAUCAACAAAAUCGGGCCGGUCGAUUAUGUAGCCGUCAUGGAGAACAAUGCUGUCAAUGCUCCUGGCACGCUCGGAAAUUUGGAAAAAUAUUCGAGGACGAAAAAAGAAAUGCAAUUUGCCGAUGCGGUCAUCAUUUUAAUAGGGUCUUGCGUAUACAAGGGGAGCUUGCAAUAGGCAUAAUGUCAUCGUUGCUCGAGACGAUGGGACGAAACACGCCGGGGC
rnacentral:lncRNA from 1 species